rnacentral:rRNA from 1 species
UACGAAGGGGGGCUAGCGUUGCUCGGAAUCACUGGGCGUAAAGGGUGCGUAGGCGGGUCUUUAAGUCAGGGGUGAAAUCCUGGAGCUCAACUCCAGAACUGCCUUUGAUACUGAGGAUCUUGAGUUCGGGAGAGGGAUGCGGAAUUCCCGGUGUAGCGGUGAAAUGCGCAGAUAUCGGGAAGAACACCCGUGGCGAAGGCGGCACUCUGGGACGGUACUGACGCUGAGACGCGAAAGCGUGGGGAGCGAACAGG